rnacentral:tRNA from 1 species
GGUGAUGAAGUGGUAAAGCACUCAGCUGCUAACUGAAAUGUGGGUGGUUCAAGUCCACCCGGCACCC